rnacentral:rRNA from 1 species
AACGAACGCUGGCGGCAGGCUUAACACAUGCAAGUCUAACGCCCCGCAAGGGGAGUGGCAGACGGGUGAGUAACGCGUGGGAAUCUACCUAGUUCUACGGAACAACAGUUGGAAACGACUGCUAAUACCGUAUACGCCCUACGGGGGAAAGAUUUAUCGGAAUUAGAUGAGCCCGCGUAAGAUUAGCUAGUUGGUGGGGUAAUGGCCUACCAAGGCGACGAUCUUUAGCUGGUCUGAGAGGAUGAUCAGCAACACUGGGACUGAGACACGGCCCAGACUCCUACGGGAGGCAGCAGUGGGGAAUAUUGGACAAUGGGCGCAAGCCUGAUCCAGCCAUGCCGCGUGAGUGAUGAAGGCCUUAGGGUUGUAAAGCUCUUUCACCGAUGAAGAUAAUGACGGUAGUCGGAGAAGAAGCCCCGGCUAACUUCGUGCCAGCCGCCGCAGUAAUAC